GGACCCGCGUCUGAUUAGCUAGUUGGUAAGGUAACGGCUUACCAAGGCGACGAUCAGUAGCCGACCUGAGAGGGUGAUCGGACACAUUGGAACUGAGACACGGUCCAAACUCCUACGGGAGGCAGCAGUGGGGAAUAUUGCACAAUGGGCGAAAGCCUGAUGCAGCAACGCCGCGUGAGUGAUGAAGGCCUUCGGGUCGUAAAACUCUGUCCUCAAGGAAGAUAAUGACGGUACUUGAGGAGGAAGCCCCGGCUAACUACGUGCCAGCAGCCGCGGUAAUACGUAGGGGGCUAGCGUUAUCCGGAUUUACUGGGCGUAAAGGGUGCGUAGGCGGUCUUUCAAGUCAGGAGUGAAAGGCUACGGCUCAACCGUAGUAAGCUCUUGAAACUGGGAGACUUGAGUGCAGGAGAGGAGAGUGGAAUUCCUAGUGUAGCGGUGAAAUGCGUAGAUAUUAGGAGGAACACCAGUUGCGAAGGCGGCUCUCUGGACUGUAACUGACGCUGAGGCACGAAAGCGUGGGGAGCAAACAGGAUUAGAUACCCUGGUAGUCCACGCUGUAAA
rnacentral:rRNA from 1 species